CGAACCCUCACUAACAAGGUGAGAGUUCAGGUAGCCAACCAACUAAGCUACUAGAUCCCUACUUGGCUACCAACUAAGCUACUAGAUCCCUACUUUAUAUGAGCUAAUGCACUUAAAAUUUUGAAGGAAAUAUUUUUAGGUUAAUUCCCGUGUAUAACACAUAUUGUGUACAACAUAAUUUUUUUCAAUUAUUUGUCAAGAGUUAUAUUCACCUUCUGAAUGUGAUCCUUUUCUUUCUCCCCUCAUUUACCAUUGUUUUCACUUUUCACUCUAUGGAAGAAAAGCAUGAAUGUUGGGAAAGACCAAUAAAUGAAACAUUCCAAAUGAGUAGCAAACAGACAGAUUUCCCAACUAUUUGGAAGAAAAUGUAAGUAGUGUGUUGGCAGCCACCUGCAUGCCAUGCAAAUGUGGAUUGACACCUGUUUCACAGUUUCCUCUCAAUAUAUACUCAGACAACUCUACUUCGGUACUAUCAAAGCACAGAGAAAAAGAUCAGUCAGAAAACUAUUACAAUUCCAGUCAUGGCCUCCAAAAAGCCCUCAAAAAAUGAUGCAAUAGGAAAAUCGACCAAUCAAGUUGGAGAAAGUUCCAUUGUCCUGCGCGUCCUCCACGGAUUCACGUGCCAAACCGCGGUGUCGCAAGGUCGUCUAAUGUUCAGGGGGAGAAAGCUAAAGGAAAGAAGUCAAAGCUACAUGAAAAGGCGCGUGAAAAGAUAAUCAUUGCUGAGAGCAAAAAGACCGAGGCGAUCUCGAUGAAAAAGUCCAAAGAGAAGAAAGAGAUUAAGCAGCCGGAUGGAGAUGUGAAGAAGUACAAAGGGGUCAGACAACGAAAAUGGGGCAAGUGGCUGGCAGAGACUCGGGAGACAAGAAAGAAAGUCCAAUGGUUAGGAACAUUCAAUACUGCCGAAGAAGCUGCUUUGGCUUUCGACGAGACGACCAUUGAAAUGAGAGGUGCUGAUGCUGUGACAAACAUCCUCAAACUACCAUCAAGGGACCCACCACCAACGGAAAUCAACUUCAUCAAUCCACCAUCUCCACCCUCAGAUGAUAUUAGGGUUGAGAAAUGAUUUAAAAAAAAAACAAUGGCACAAAAGUGCUAAAGAAGCAUCCAAAUGGUCCACCUUACUGUAAUAUUACUGAAUUGAUGUAUGUCGUAUGUGUUUUUUUCCCCUCUGUAUUGGUGUGUAACAAGAAAUAGGUUACUGUUUCUUCAUGUUUAGUUGGGAAUUGGAUAUAUAGUUUUGAACUA